rnacentral:rRNA from 1 species
UACAGAGGAUGCAAGCGUUAUCCGGAAUGAUUGGGCGUAAAGCGUCUGUAGGCGGCUUUUUAAGUCAGCCGUCAAAUCCCAGGGCUCAACCCUGGAACGGCGGUUGAAACUGCCGAGCUGGAGUAAGGUAGAGGUAGGGGGAAUUUCCGGUGUAGCGGUGAAAUGCGUAGAGAUCGGAAGGAACACCAAUGGCGAAAGCAGGCUGCUGGGCCGACACUGACGCUGAGAGACGAAAGCGAGGGGAGCGAAUAGG